AAACUAGGAUUAGAUACCCUAUUAUUUAAAUUUGAAUCACAAUUUUUUUUUAGGAAUUAGGUUAUACAAAAAAUUAAAUUGAUUUGGCGGUUUUUUAAACUUUUUAGAGGAACCUGUUGAUUAAUUUGAUAAUCCACGAUUAAAUUUACCUUAAUUUUCUUGUAUAUCUCUAUAAUUGAAUAUAUUUUGAGGUUAAUUUUCUUUUUUCUAUUACAGAAACUAAUUUAGGUCAAGGUGCAGUUGUAUUGAGGUUCAAAUGGGUUACAUUAAUUUAGGUUUGUAGGGGGCUUAUUUAAAUAAAUGUAAAAAUGGAUUUAAAAGUAAGAUUUUUUAUUCAAAAAUUUGAAUCAUGCUCUAGAUUAUGUACAUAUCGCCCGUCAUUCUCAUCAAGUGAGACAAGUCGUAACAAAGUAGAUGUAUUGGAAAAUGUAUCUAGCGGAUA
rnacentral:rRNA from 1 species